AUCUCUAGCUAGUUUUAAUGAUAAAGAUAUUACACAUAGAGAACAUCAUUUCUGUUAUUUAAAAGAAAAUAGAACAAUAGUGGAUAUGUUACUUUUUGAACAACAUAAUUUGUUUUUAACCAUUUGAUUUUCUUGCUUUGUCUCUUUUUGAUUAUAUAUGAUCUCAUUUUUUUCUUCUUUCUAUUUUUACAUUUUACAAAUUGUAUGUGUCUUUUUUCUCUAUUUCAUGUUAUUGGCACAGUAAUGUAUAAUAUAUUAUGCAGCAUUGUUGGUGUAUUCUGGUUACAAUUUGAAUUCUUCUCAGACAUGGCAGGUGAGAUCAGACAUCUCAAAGAUAUUUUCACAUUCACACACUUUAAGUACACAGCUGUAUGGGUUUUUUCUUGGUUUUCUUUUAUGCAUUUAACAAAAUACAUAUUUUUGUUUUUUAAAAUAGAAAUAUCAUUUGAAAAUGAGUAAUAAUAGUAUAAAAUUUCUCUCAUACAACUGUCAAG
rnacentral:lncRNA from 1 species